rnacentral:lncRNA from 1 species
GGUGGAGUGUGUACGAAGGUUAUGAGUUGAUCAACAUGGAAUCAAUCACUCUUAGUAAGAGAAGAUCGCAUCCUAUGAAUUUUUAUCUCUAGAUGACUCGAAAAAAAUCUUUUAACCAAAAGUAGGAUGGAGAUUACAAAGAGUUUCUAAUGCUUCAUCAUCAAAGUCAUUAUUGAUUGAUAGAGAAUCAAUAUGAAUAUGUGUUUGAGUUUGACAUUAUUUAAUACUCAUGAACAUACAUGCAGAAAUGAUCGAAGGAUUAAAUUGUAAGGUAACUUACCACUAAAGGAUAUAUUUGAU